rnacentral:rRNA from 1 species
CAGCCGCCGCGGUAAAACGAGGGGUGCAAGCGUUAUUCGGAUUGAUUGGGUGUAAAGGGUGUGCAGACGGCUUAUUAAGUCACUUGUUAAAUUCUUCGGCCUAACUGAAGGUCUGCAAGUGAUACUGAUGAGCUAGAGGGUGGAAGAGAGAAGUGGAAUUCUCGGAGUAGCGGUAAAAUGCGUAGAUCUCGAGAGGAACACCAAUGGCGAAGGCGACUCUCUGGUCUGUAACUGACGCUGAGGAGCGAAAGCGUGGGGAGCGAACAGGAUUAGAUACCCCAGUAGUCCCUGUCUCUUAUAU